CUCUUUCAGCGUUGGCACGAGCGUAGCUAUUGUCGUGCAGCUGUUACGUCUCUCUCCUCUUGACCCGCUCUACCUUGUUCUGGUGAACAACAGUAAUCGGGCUGGAGAUAUGUACGAACGCACUCAUUCUGCGGUUUUGCGUAUGUGAAGCUGUGUGAUUUCAUUUUAACUUCUUUUUUUUUUAACCACAAAAGUUCAAAACAUAUAUUGCAAGUUUGUAUGUUCCUUAGUUUCUUUUGUAUAUUGUGUGACAAAACGUAGCCUGUUCUUCUCUGGGCAUAAAUGCAAUUACUUAGUAAUCAACAUUUUUGGUCAUGAAUCAUGACUUCGAAGAACACAUGGAUUUAGACUUUUUAA